rnacentral:lncRNA from 10 species
CAUUACCUGAAGGUACCGUGAAGGGCGAGCUUGUCCUUGGGAAAUAAACCUCUGGUGUGAAUUAUUCCACUUGCAUCUGACCAGCGUCAACACUGAUGGCCUGUGGAGUGGGUAGGUUUGUAUCCACUCAACAGCCUAAUUACAUUCCAUAAAUGUUGGUAACCUUUCCUUUGCUAUCUCCGCAAAUGUAAGUAUCUGUAGUUCCUGUUUCUCUUUUCAGCCUACAGAAUAUUAUUAUUUUUUCCCUUUCUUUACAAGCAAGAGCACAAAUGAAUUUACUAGAGCUGACUGGCUCCAGUUCCUUUGGAACAAAUGCUAAGCAUAACAGGAUCAGACAUAAGGAAAAAAAUUUAAAAGGAUGUUUGAUAGAAAUAUUUUCAAAAUUAUGCUGUAAAAACCUAGGUGGAGUUCAUAGUUAUGGAUAUAAUUUUGUCUGUAGAGGACAGGAUCAAGUUUUACAGAUGUGUUGAUGAAAAGAUUAAAACUCAGUAAAAUUGAAGAGAUGUAUUCUAAGCCAAAUAUGAGUGACCUGUGGCCUGUGAUACAGCCCUCAGGAGAUGUUGAGAACACGUGCCCAAGGUGGUCAGGUUACAGCUCGGUUUUAUAUGCUUUAAAGAGACAUAAAGCAUCAGUCAGUACAUGCAAGGUGUAUAUCGAUUUGGUCUGAAAAGGCCGGAAAACCGGAAGUGGAGGAUUCCAGGUCAUAGGUAGAUUCAAAGAUUUUCUGAUUGGCAGUUGGUUGAAACAGUUAAAUUAUUGUCUAAAGACUUAGAAUCAAUAGAAAGGAAUGUCUGGGUCAAGAUAAGGGGUUGUGGAGACCAAGGGUUUAUCACGCAGAUGAAGCCUCCAGGUAGCAGACUUCAGAGAGAGUAGAUUGUGAAUGUUUCUUAUCAGACUUAAAGAGUCUGUCCUAUCAGUAGUUCAAAAAAGGAGGAGGGUAUAAUGAGGCAUGUCUGGCUUCCCCUUCCCCUUAUGACCUGAACUAGUUUUUCAGGUUAACUUUGGAAUGCCCUUGGCUGAGAAGAGGGGUCUGUUCCUAUCGGGUGGCUUAGAAUUUUAUUUUUGGUUUACAGAUGGGACUUAAACAUAUAUACAGAAAAUUGGUCUAGCAUAUGACUGUUUACUCCAAUGUCACCUUUAUUACAUCUCAUGCAACAGGACCUUCUUUUGCAGAGCCUAAGCUCAGUCCACAGCAGGGCAUGCUGCAUGAUGCUUGGAAGCUGGGGGGUGUUGAUUUCAAAGCUGCUUCCAGGAGAAAAACCACUUUUAUGGGACAGAGUGUCCACCUGCUGUUCUUUCUCAGAGCAGAUGUCAAAGCAUCAAAACGAGCAAUGUUGCGUUAGUUGGGGGUGGUUUGCACCUUCUAAACUGCCUCGCUUCCGCCUUUCCACCACCUCUUUCUAAAGCCUCCCUCCCCUCACACAAAUAGCUGGCUUGGUAGUUGAUAAGUAAAAAACUUGUAGUUACCUUGAAAUUCAUAAAGCAGAGGUGUCAGAGUUUACAAAAGACCAUAAAACAUAUGGAAAAUUCCUUUGAUUCUUGGGACUUGUUAUGCUCUAUGAAGUUACCUGGAACACUGCAUUGGCCCAUACUGAACUAUUGCUUCUUAGAGAAACACAGGGUCUGGUGCCUGCAAGUCUUUGGUCACAGAAUUUUGUCAAGCAGUCAAUGCAUAACCGUUUUUGAGUGUGUUUCUAUGGAAAGACACUAUAUUUAACCUAGAGAUACUGUUGAUUCAUUAAGAUUGAGCUCGCCUCCAACAGCGCUAUAACUUGUGCCUGCAUGAAGCUUGUCUGACACUUGUAUUUUUUCCAUGAGGCACAUACCAGGCUUGAACUUAGGAACGCUAGCCAGCACUUCAUCCCUAUGUUUGGGGCCAUUUUAAACAGAAAAAUCACUACCAAAAAGCACAAAAGUGCGAGAAACAGGGCACCACACAGACCAUGGAAAAGACAUUUGUUUACAGCAGGAGACAAGAAAGCAGGCCUUGCGCUGCCUCAGCUGGGAACUUGCCCACUAGGCAAUUCAAAUUCUUUGCCACUUUGUGUGUGUCCUCAGAAGACUGUGAAAGUGCUGCCAGCAUUGAUUUUUGGGGCUACAAACACAUCCUAGUGAGCAGGCCAAUUUGCAAAUAUGGAGUCUGAAUAUAGUGCAUAUGACUAUAUUUAUUACUUGCUACCUUAGUCUGAGCUGCUAUGACAAAAUACUGCUAUAACAAAAUACCUGAGGCUGGGUAAUUUGCAAGAACAGAAAUGUAUCUCUCACAGCUCUGGGGGCUGUAAAGUCUGAGAAGCAGGUGCUGGAAGGUUUGGUGUCUGGUGAGGGCUGCUUCAUCGAUGGCCUCCUCUCUCAGCUGCAUCCUCACAGGCUGGAAGGUGGAGGGGCAGAAAGGGCCUAAGCUGGUUCCCUCCAGCUCUUUCUAAAAAAUAAGAUGCUAACACACGCAGGGCUUAAAACCUAGAUGGCAGGUUGAUAGGUAUAGCAAACCACUGUGGUACAUGUAUACCUAUGUAACAAACCUGCACGUUCAGCACAUGUACCUCAGAACUUAAAAGAAAAAAUAAUAAGGUGCUAAUCCAUGUUUGAUGGUAGAAUAUUCAAGACUUAAUCACUUCCCCAAAAGCCCCACUUCUUAAUACCGCCAUGAUAGGAAUUAAGUUUCAACCUGACUGAUGGAGGGGACACCAUCACUGAAACCAAAGCACUUGCUAACAACUGAUCUUCCCAAAGAGUUUCCAAGAAUGUAAGUUCUCUCAAGUGAGAUACUCAACGCAAGGUAGUAUUUUACUUUGGAUGGGGUGGCCUAUUUUCAUCUCUUUUUCAGAUUAGCAAAUUCUAUUUUAGCUCUCAUAAUUUGAAUGGGAGCUGAUCCCUCCCAGGGUCUCAGUGAUUCAGCCUCUUUGCCGCACACUCAUAUUUCUGGCCUGAAAUUCUUUUGAGGUUGAAGCGGAUAGACUAGGUUUCCUCUCUUUUGAUUGAAGGAUGGAAAGGCUGAUGACACACAGGCCAGGUGACAGCAGAGCAGCUCAGCACAAGGGCCGAGGCUGGCUGCAGCUCUGACGGGCAUGUUCUGGACUUCAGCAAGUAUGGAACCUCCCUGUGCCUCAGUUUAUACACUUGUAAAUGGGUGGAUAAUAAUGGCACUGUCAAUCAGGAAUCCAGACUCAGAAAGGCACAAACUCCUGGCCACAACCCCUGCUGCAGACGGAGGGAGUCUGGGGCCCCAGGAGGAUCCGGAUGCUGGUGCUGUCGGCUGUGGAGAGAAAAGACAUGCUUGAGGAGAACUGUGCCCUGUCUAUGGCUCAGCCUUCCAGGGUAUCUAAUUCUGGUUCUAAGGGAACUGUUUCACAACUUGCUAAGGUGCAGACAACUGACAGCAAUGCAGAGAGAUGACUCCAUUGCAGCCAGGUGAGCUCAGUCCUGUGGAGGCUCUGCUGGCUACCUCCUCACGGCGGAAGGGCCCAGCGUGGUUCCAUCUGCACAUUCCCCUACCUAUUCCAGA